rnacentral:ncRNA from 1 species
GCGCUUGCUCACUCCACACUAUGAGCGGCGUACAUCCUAAAGGAGGUACUGUCAACCCGUCAGGCUUACGGUGCGGCAGCGUGGAGACCUGUCGUAUAUGCGGAGCAAUACAUUAUAUAGUCAUUGUCAGGCUAUAAACAGCCGCGGCAAUCUCAACCUUAUUAUGCUGUUGCCCGUGAGGCGGUAUCACGGAGGUUUUACCGUCAGAGCCGAUUUUAUG